AUGGACAGCUCAGGAGGCUUUUUGGCUGAGGGAAGCUGGAUUGUUUAUGUCAGGGGAAGGAAGUCUGAGAAGGAAGCGUGUGGCUCUCCAGGGCUAAGUACAAUGAGGCUUAUCGCAGGCAGAGUUAAUUCGCAUGCAGUCUGGAUGAUGUGUGCAAGAGAGCCGAUAAGACAACAUGGUUAAUUAACUGGAACCCAGCUGAGCCUGGCGUCAGCAGAGACGCUGCGGCAGGAAAAGAGCAGUGGAAGUCAGCUUUGCAUCGAGGGAAGGAGAGAAAGAAGAAAGAAAGAGGACUUGCUGGGGCUUCUAAUGGAGAGUAAAUGGCUGCUUUCACACAACAUCCUUCUGCUUCUUAAACUAUCUGAGAAAUUUUGCAAUGAUCGAAGCGGCACUCCUAGGAAUUUUCAUUGGUUCUAAUUCAAGAGGAACAGUCAAUAUCCAAAUCAUGAUCAGAAGCCAGAGUCUGAUCUCCGUUAUGAUGUCCCAUCAUGAACACCCCUUCUCCUUCCCCUCCCCUGAUGGACAGCAGUAUUCUGGGACACAGCUUCCUCUCUCUUGAACGAACCUCUUGGAGAAGACCUCCCCACUCAAUUUCUCAAGCCUAUAGAGCUCUGUUCCCACUAGAGCAGUUUUAUCUUCGGACAUGAUGUGCAGAUGUGGUUUUGGACCUUUUAAGUCAAUCAUUGAUAAGAAGUAAGGUUUCUGUCAAUGAGUCACCCCAGGACACUUCCUAGGCCUUUCCUGAUCAAUAUUUCUCUUCAUUUCCUCCUGCCCUGAAAAAAUGGAUGAUGUUGGGAAUUGGGCUUUCUUCUUGGAAGCUUCAACCCUGCUAUCUCACCAAGGACUGCCUCUUUUGGCUAGUACAAUGGUGCCACAAUGAGCCACUUCAUCCAUCUUUAUCACGCUCAUCUUUUGGGGUGCUGGGUAAAGCAAAAAGCCAGUUUGGUCUAGUGGUGAAGGCACCAGGAUAGAAAGCAGGAAACCAUGAGGUCAAAUUCUACUUUAAAGCAAUGAAAGCUGACUGGGUAACUUUGGGCCAAUCACAAGGAGACUUGUGAGUUCUAGAACAGCCUUAGGCAUGAAAGCUGGUGACUUUGGGCCAGUCACUCUCUGCCCAACCUUCCUUACCCUUCCCCAGAUGGUACCAACCAAAUAGCAAUUUUCAGCUGCCUGUUUUUACUUAAUUCUACUUAAAAACCAGAACAAGCAACCAAAUCAAAGUGGCAACGCCUCUGGUAGUCGAAACAUGCCCAACUUCGGAGUUGUUCAGGAUGAAAGGUGUUUCAUCCCUGCUCCUUCAACACAUUCCUGCUUGCCUUUUGCAGUUGCCAAGAAACAAUAAAGAAAACACAAACUCUAGCUACAAAAAAGGCUGCUCUGCUGGCCCUCCGCACCUCACCCUACCACCGUCCCCCCCAUCAUAAAGACCCAGCAAUGUUGGCAUCUUUGGGAUGACUCUGCCCUCCUGAGCUACCUUGGGGUCUUCCUCCAGGAAGGAGGAGACCUUUCGAAACUGCCCCAGUUCCCUUAAUCUCAACCUUUUUAGCAGCUUGGAAACACACAACACACAGCUCCCUGCCCACAGACUGCCAGCUCCCAAGAAAUACCCAUCUUUCCCCCCCCCCACUCACACACAUUGAUGUCCGCCCAGCACGUGCCAAUUUUAAGCGGGAGUUGCCCUUAAUUGUCCUACUUGGGGGAGGGGGCAACUGCUGAUGGCAAUGAAUCAUUUCAAAAUGGGCCCAGGCAGAGGGGAGAUAUUGCACCUGCCUCUCCCGUGACCUUUGCUCUCUAGCUGCCAAUCAUCAUCGUGGCAAGUUGCCAGGGAAACUGAGACAUCUCCCCCCCCCUUCUUUUUUCAUCCAGAGUACAUGAAUGGCCUUGGAGGAGCAAUUAUCUAUA